GUUCUGGCUUCGGCAGCACAUAAACUAAAAUUAGAACGAUAGAAGAUUAGCAUGGUCCCUGUGCAAGGAUGACAUGCAAAUUCGCGAAGAGUUCCAUAUUAAA